AGCGAACGUUAGCGGCGGGCUUAACACAUGCAAGUCGAGCGAUAUCUAGAGCUUCGGUUCUAGUGACAGCGGCAGACGGGUGAGUAACACGUAGGUAAGUUUCCGUUUUGUGGGGGACAACGGUCCGAAAGGACCGCUAAUACCGCAUAAGUUCUUUGGGGCUCUGGCUCUGGAGAGGAAAGCUGGGUAACUGGCGCAAA
rnacentral:rRNA from 1 species